UGUUCAGGACUCUCACAACUCCAACAACUUGUCAGAGUGGAGAGAGCGCUUCUGCGCAUGCCUGGAGGUGCCAGGGAGCCAGCCUGUGCAUGAGCAGGUUUUUUUUUUCCCAAAGCUUGUGCACGUCACUGCUCGUUCUGGUUCAAUCUGGAAGGGACCAGCAGCGCCAGGACCAGCAUCAGGAACUUCUCUCUUACUGCUACUGCACUACAGAUUCCAGAACCAUACCUAAAUCCAGGCAGAACCAACAUCUGUAUAAGCUGUUGCACUUAAGGACAAAUUUGGCAUACCCAGUGAGUGGAUAAAUACCUGGAGACUUCCAGAAUACACCAGAUACAGCCUUAUGGAGAGAAGCUAUGAAGGGGAGAUGGAGUGAUUCCUUGGGCCCAUUACUUGGAAAACUCAUUGUUUGGG